CUCAAAGGAAUUGACGGGGACCCGCACAAGCGGUGGAUGAUGUGGUUUAAUUCGAUGCAACGCGAAAAACCUUACCUACCCUUGACAUGUCUAGAAGUUGCCAGAGAUGGCUUCGUGCUCGAAAGAGAACUAGAACACAGGUGCUGCAUGGCCGUCGUCAGCUCGUGUCGUGAGAUGUUGGGUUAAGUCCCGCAACGAGCGCAACCCUUAUCAUUAGUUGCUACGCAAGGGCACUCUAAUGAGACUGCCGGUGACAAACCGGAGGAAGGUGGGGAUGACGUCAGGUCAUCAUGGCCCUUAUGGGUAGGGCUACACACGUCAUACAAUGGCCGGUACAGAGGGCUGCCAACCCGCGAGGGGGAGCUAAUCUCAGAAAACCGGUCGUAGUCCGGAUCGCAGUCUGCAACUCGACUGCGUGAAGUCGGAAUCGCUAGUAAUCGCGGAUCAGCUUGCCGCGGUGAAUACGUUCCCGGGUCUUGUACACACCGCCCGUCACACCAUGGGAGCGGGUUCUGCCA
rnacentral:rRNA from 1 species